GAGAGUAUAGCUCAGUGGUACAGCAUGCUUAGCAUGCAUGAGGUCCUGGGUUCAAUCCCCAGUGCUUCCA
rnacentral:tRNA from 1 species